GAACCUGAAACCGUGUACGUACAAGCAGUGGGAGCCCCACCACCAAAGCAUUCUCUGGUGUUGAAGGCCCUGCAAAGCAGCAUCGCGGUGGCGGAGCGUCGUUUGCGACGCCCAACACACAAAACAAGCGGUGAGUGCUUUGGGGUGGGGUGACUGCGUACCUUUUGUAUAAUGGGUCAGCGACUUAUAUUCUGUAGCAAGGUUAACCGAAUAGGGGAGCCGGAGGGAAACCGAGUCUUAAUUGGGCGUUAAGUUGCAGGGUAUAGACCCGAAACCCGGUGAUCUAGCCAUGGGCAGGUUGAAGGUUGGGUAACACUAACUGGAGGACCGAACCGACUAAUGUUGAAAAAUUAGCGGAUGACCUGUGGCUGGGGGUGAAAGGCCAAUCAAACCGGGAGAUAGCUGGUUCUCCCCGAAAGCUAUUUAGGUAGCGCCUCGUGAAUUCAUCUCCGGGGGUAGAGCACUGUUUCGGCUAGGGGGCCAUCCCGGCUUACCAACCCGAUGCAAACUGCGAAUACCGGAGAAUGUUAUCACGGGAGACACACGGCGGGUGCUAACGUCCGUCGUGAAGAGGGAAACAACCCAGACCGCCAGCUAAGGUCCCAAAGUCAUGGUUAAGUGGGAAACGAUGUGGGAAGGCCCAGACAGCCAGGAUGUUGGCUUAGAAGCAGCCAUCAUUUAAAGAAAGCGUAAUAGCUCACUGGUCGAGUCGGCCUGCGCGGAAGAUGUAACGGGGCUAAACCAU
rnacentral:rRNA from 1 species